GGCUUCGUAGAUCAGCUGAGAUAGCGCUUGCUACGUUGAGGCAUGACGUUUCUGUCGCUGGUUCGAGUCCAGCCGAAGCUC